rnacentral:rRNA from 1 species
ACCUUCGUUGGUCGUGACCAAGAAACCACCGGCUUUGCUUGGUGGGCUGGGAAUGCCAGACUUAUCAAUUUGUCCGGUAAACUGCUUGGAGCUCAUGUAGCCCAUGCCGGAUUAAUCGUAUUCUGGGCCGGAGCAAUGAACCUAUUUGAAGUGGCCCAUUUCUUUCCAAGGCAUAUGAUAGUUUUAUUAUCUGUGGACGAUUUCUUUGUCGUUCAAUGCCCUUUUUCAAUGGUCUCGAAGAGAGAAAUUUCCCAUUUUUAUCUAUGGAGUCACAGUCACAACCGAGGUCAUGGUAAAUCCAUGAAUUUGAUUCGAUUUAGCUCGAUGCCAGAAUGA